rnacentral:misc_RNA from 1 species
CUCCCACACAAUCUAACACCUUUCUUUUCUCUUCAGACCAGAACCAAUUACAUGGCUUUUUCCUCUGAAAAACUAACACCCUCGCCAUUUCCUUCCACCGCUGAAACAGCCACUGUCCACCACGGCGGCUGCUCUUCAUCUAUCUCCGCCGUCCAUCCAGACAUUCUCCAAACGCAUGUCCUAACACUUCUCGACGGACCCUCCCUCGCCUCCGCCUCUUGUUCCUCCACGGAACUCAACUCCCUCGCUUCUCAAGAUGAUUUGUGGACCAACAUUUGUCGCUCUACUUGGCCGUCCACCGAGAUGCCGCGGUUGCGCCAAGUCAUUUCUACUUUUCCCAACGGUCCUCGUUCCUUCUUCUCUGCCGCCUUUCCUCUCCUCACCAUCGAUCAAGCUUCCGCUACUUCUCUGGUUACUCCUCAUCGUCCAUCCGAACUGAUCUCUGCCGUCGAUAUUUACCACCGGAAUGAGCUCAUUUUCAGUAGAGUUGUGGAGACAGAGACCGAGUCUGGGUGGUUCCGGUGCUCUCCUUUUAGAAUCGACAUGCUCGACCCCAAGGACACGUGUGCUACGCCUAUACCGCAUCCAGAAACACAGGACGCUUGCCGGGAGCUGGCGGAGGAAUUGACGCUGAGCUGGAUUUUGAUAGACGCUACCGGACGGCGAGCCAUGAACCUCUCAAGCCACAAGCCGGUUUCUGUGCAGAGACACUGGCUGAGCGGUGAGGUACACGCGCGGUUUGUAUCGAUUUUGGCCGGCGAGAAAGGAUCAUCAACGGAGUUUGUACAGUGUGGAAUUGUGUUGACCUGUGGAGGAGGGACAGCGGGUGGAGGAAUGCACGUGAGGGAAGUGAGCGUGCAGGUGGAGGACAUGGAUGGAAUGUUUAUGAACGGGAAGGACAGUUUGGGAAUUUUAAACAGAUCAUUCGAGGGCAAGAAGGGAAUUAAGGGAAGAAGCGAAGAAGAAGGAAGGAGAAGGUAUGAAGGAUUUUUGGAAAUGAAAAGAGAAAGAAAAGAGAGAAAAUUGAGAACUGAAGGCACUUUAGACACAUUAUGUGUGGGUUUUGGUUUCUUGAUUCUCGUCUGUCUUGGCUUUGUUUUCUUGAGAUAAAAUUAAAGCUUCAAUAUAGGAAUAAAAAAGAAUUGUACUUACAAUAUACUUUAUAAAUUUAUAAAAUUGAAAAUUUAAAUUAAAA